GGGCCCGCACAAGCGGAGGAGCAUGUGGUUUAAUUCGAUGAUACGCGAGGAACCUUACCAGGGCUCGAACGUUCAGCGAUUUACCGUGAAAGCGGUAUUCCCUUCGGGGCGAUGAACGAGGUGCUGCAUGGUUGUCGUCAGCUCGUGCCGUGAGGUGUCAGGUUAAGUCCUAUAACGAGCGCAACCCCUAUUGAUAGUUGCCAGCGGGUAGAGCCGGGCACUCUAUUGAAACUGCCUACGCAAGUAGAGAGGAAGGUGGGGAUGACGUCAAAUCAGCACGGCCCUUAUGUCCUGGGCUACACACGUGCUACAAUGGUCGGUACAGAGGGCCGCUACCGGGUGACCGGAUGCAAAUCUCAAAAGCCGAUCUCAGUUCGGAUCGGAGUCUGCAACCCGACUCCGUGAAGUUGGAUUCGCUAGUAAUCGCGCAUCAGCCAUGGCGCGGUGAAUACGUUCCCGGGCCUU
rnacentral:rRNA from 1 species